rnacentral:rRNA from 1 species
UACGGGGGGGGUAAGCGUUGUUCGGAAUUACUGGGCGUAAAGGGCUCGUAGGCGGCCAACUAAGUCAUACGUGAAAUCCCUCAGCUUAACUGGGGGAACUGCGUGUGAUACUGGAUGGCUUGGAUUUGGGAGAGGGAUGCGGAAUUCCAGUGUAGCGGUGAAAUGGCGUAGAUAUCUGGAGGAACACCGGUGGCGAAGGCGGCAUCCUGGACCAAUAUUGACGCUGAGGAGCGAAAGCUAGGGGAGCAAACGGG